rnacentral:rRNA from 1 species
UACGGAGGGUGCAAGCGUUGCUCGGAAUUACUGGGCGUAAAGCGCGUGUAGGCGGUUUCGUGUGUCUGAUGUGAAAUCCCCGGGCUCAACCCGGGAAGUGCAUUGGAAACUGCGAGACUAGAGUCCCGGAGAGGAAGGUGGAAUUCCAGGUGUAGCGGUGAAAUGCGUAGAUAUCUGGAGGAAUACCGGUGGCGAAGGCGGCAUCCUGGACCGGCAUUGACGCUGAUGAGCGAAAGCUAGGGGAGCGAACGGG